rnacentral:rRNA from 1 species
GGUAGCAUAAUCAUUAGUCUCCUAAUUAGAGGCUUGUAUGAAUGGUCGGACAAGAUGGGAACUGUCUCAGUAUAAAAAAUGGAAAUUAAUAUUUAAGUAAAAAAGCUUAAAUAAUGUAGAGGGACGAUAAGACCCUAUAAAGCUUUAUAAUAUAAUUCUUUGAUAUGAAGUGUUACUUAUUAAUUUAUUAAAGAAAUACUAUUAUUUUACUGGGGCGGUAAAAGUAUAUAUUUGGAGUAACUGCUUUUGUUAUUUUAAACAAUAAUAAUUGAGUGUCAUAUUGAUCCACUAAUAGUGAAUAAAAGAACAAGUUACUUUAGGGAUAACAGCGUAAUUUUUUUUGAGAGUCCCUAUCGAAAAAAAAGUUUGCGACCUCGAUGUUGAAUUAAGGAAGCCUUAAGGUGCAGCAGUUUUAAAGGCAGAUCUGUUCGAUCUUUAAAUCUUUACAUGAUUUG